GAUGAACGCUAGCGGCAGGCUUAACACAUGCAAGUCGAGGGGUAGUCUAGCAAUAGAUGAGACCGGCGCACGGGUGCGUAACGCGUAUGCAAUCUACCUUUUACAGAGGGAUAGCCCAGAGAAAUUUGGAUUAAUACCUCAUAGUAUAACGACUCGGCAUCGAGAUGUUAUUAAAGUUCCAACGGUAAAAGAUGAGCAUGCGUCCCAUUAGCUAGUUGGUGUGGUAACGGCACACCAAGGCAACGAUGGGUAGGGGUCCUGAGAGGGAGAUCCCCCACACUGGUACUGAGACACGGACCAGACUCCUACGGGAGGCAGCAGUGAGGAAUAUUGGUCAAUGGGCGCAAGCCUGAACCAGCCAUGCCGCGUGCAGGAUGACGGUCCUAUGGAUUGUAAACUGCUUUUGUACAGGAAGAAACACUCCCUCGUGAGGGAGCUUGACGGUACUGUAAGAAUAAGGAUCGGCUAACUCCGUGCCAGCAGCCGCGGUAAUACGGAGGAUCCAAGCGUUAUCCGGAAUCAUUGGGUUUAAAGGGUCCGUAGGCGGGUUUAUAAGUCAGUGGUGAAAGCCCAUCGCUCAACGAUGGAACGGCCAUUGAUACUGUAGAUCUUGAAUUAUUAGGANGUNACUAGAAUAUGUAGUGUAGCGGUGAAAUGCUUAGAGAUUACAUGGAAUACCAAUUGCGAAGGCAGGUNACUACUAAUGGAUUGACGCUGAUGGACGAAAGCGUGGGUAGCGAACAGGAUUAGAUACCCUGGUAGUCCACGCCGUAAACGAUGGAUACUAGCUGUUCGGAGCAAUCUGAGUGGCUAAGCGAAAGUGAUAAGUAUCCCACCUGGGGAGUACGUUCGCAGAAUGAA
rnacentral:rRNA from 1 species